UUCCGGUUGAUCCUGCCGGAAGUUACUGCUAUCGGUGUUCGCCUAAGCCAUGCGAGUCAUAUGUAGCAAUACAUGGCGUACUGCUCAGUAACACGUAGAUAACCUGCCCUUGGGUCCGGCAUAACCCCGGGAAACUGGGGAUAAUUCCGGAUAACGCAUAUGUGCUGGAAUGCUUUAUGCGUCAAAUGGAUUCGUCUGCCCAAGGAUGGGUCUGCGGCCUAUCAGGUAGUAGUGGGUGUAAUGUACCUACUAGCCGACAACGGGUACGGGUUGUGAGAGCAAGAGCCCGGAGAUGGAUUCUGAGACAUGAAUCCAGGCCCUACGGGGCGCAGCAGGCGCGAAAACUUUACAAUGCGGGAAACCGUGAUAAGGGGACACCGAGUGUCAGCAUCAUAUGCUGGCUGUCCAGGUGUGUAAAAUACACCUGUUAGCAAGGGCCGGGCAAGACCGGUGCCAGCCGCCGCGGUAACACCGGCGGCCCGAGUGGUGAUCGUGAUUAUUGGGUCUAAAGGGUCCGUAGCCGGUUUGGUCAGUCCUCCGGGAAAUCUGAUAGCUCAACUAUUAGGCUAUCGGGGGAUACUACCAGACUUGGAACCGGGAGAGGUAAGAGGUACUACAGGGGUAGGAGUGAAAUCUUGUAAUCCCUGUGGGACCACCUGUGGCGAAGGCGUCUUACCAGAACGGGUUCGACGGUGAGGGACGAAAGCUGGGGGCACGAACCGGAUUAGAUACCCGGGUAGUCCCAGCCGUAAACGAUGCUCGCUAGGUGUCAGGCAUGGCGCGACCGUGUCUGGUGCCGCAGGAAAG
rnacentral:rRNA from 1 species